rfam:TPA: Bos taurus chromosome 23, whole genome shotgun sequence.
CCAAAGGCUCUUUUCAGAGCCAUUCAAAUAUAUCAGUGAGGGCUGU